rnacentral:rRNA from 1 species
UACGGGGGGGGCAAGCGUUGUUCGGAAUUACUGGGCGUAAAGGGUUCGUAGGUGGCCUGCUCAGUCGGACGUGAAAUCCCUCGGCUCAACCGGGGAACUGCGUCCGAUACUGGUGGGCUCGAGUGCAGGAGAGGAACGCGGAAUUCCAGGUGUAGCGGUGAAAUGCGUAGAUAUCUGGAGGAACACCGGUGGCGAAGGCGGCGUUCUGGACUGCAACUGACACUGAGGAACGAAAGCCAGGGGAGCAAACGGG